GGUGUAGCUCAGUUGGUAUAGCUUGAGACUCAAUCUCAUGGUUGUAGGUUCAAGCCCCACCAUAGCUG